UUAUUUAAGUGCCUUUUAAAAUAUGAAAUUCCUAACUACUUUAAUCAAUGCUCAAACUUUUUGUGGCACUGCCUCAGUCUGCAAUAAGAAUAAUGAACCAAUAUACAAAAAUUGCAAAAGUCUUUUGAUAUUAAAAAUAAAACUAAAACAGAAAUUGUUUUAAAAACAAUACAUAAAAGAUUUUUUUAAAGGAAAUAAGAACUUCGUCCCCCUCAUCAGGCCUUGUCCCAGCUCGCUAGCCAGGCCGGCCAAUCCCCCCUC
rnacentral:lncRNA from 1 species